AGCCUUAUAGUCAACAAUGAUAUAAAAUUGCAAAUUUUGAGGAAUAUUAAACUAUAUAUUAAGGCUU
rnacentral:tRNA from 1 species